AUAAAAUUGUGUUAUUCUUAGCCAUCUGCUCAGUGUUACAUGCCAAGGGUAAAAAUUGAUUAACUCAGCAAAGGUAGCACGUGGUUAGAGGUAAUGGGUUGGCCACUGGGUUCAUUUUAUAGCCAUAAAUAAUCCAAUUUGGCCAGGGACUAGCAUAUACAGAGACUUAGAAAUCUUGUUCCAAAUUUCUGAUGUUGUAUUCACCUCCUUUUCUCCCAAUCUCAAACCUCAAUACCCUUUGUACCUCUACUCUCAAGGUCACCAGUAACUCAAAUGUUCUGCAGUAGAUUUUUGAUCAUCCCACUCAUUCCCACCACUACAUCCCUUUUAUAGCAUAAAUGCCCCACUGUUAAAGUGUGACAAGCCUCUUACAAGGCUCAGGAGUUUGUACCAAAUUCUUGAUUGGGAAGAAAAAAAAACAGGACAACUAAGUAGAAAGUAAGUUUACUGGAACCCAAGUAGCCAAAAUGGAGCCUAGAGAACCAGGCUUAAAUAUGAAUAGCAACUAAGGGAAGGAAGUUAGGCAGCCCAAGCCACAGAAAUUGGGGCAGAUUUUUAACUAGCCCAUUAGUCCUUGCAGCUUCCCUUACAAGUAUCUUGAAUGAAUUCUCCCGGAGACAGAAGCCCCAGUGUCAGAACCCCAGGCAGAAGCUCAUAGUUGCUAGUGGACUGUGUUAGUGUCAUGCCUCCACCCUUCACUACCUUGGCUUCCUGUAGCAGAGCCAGAAUAUGGCUUUUGGGGUCCCUGUUAAAUAGGUGUUGACUUCCUCCAAGGCUUACAGUGUGGGAGAAAAACUUUGGAAGAAAUUUGGGUGGGUAGUAAUUAGAACUGCCCAUUCUCAGGCCCCUCUGUACUCCACUGCCUGAUACCCCUGCUCUCAGCUUUCUCCUGUCUCCGGAGAGGACCAUCUCCCUUCCACUGUCCACCAAAAGAGCAUUUUCCAUCCACAGUUUUGAAUGAGAGGACACACUUCAAAAUCUGUGGGAGGGGGCAGCAGGGGCCAGCUGUGAUUCUCAGCUGUCCAGUGAGGCCAGGAGAGAGACCAGGAUUUACAAACGUCCCUACUCGCCUCACUGGCUUUAGAAGCAAUCUUCCAAGGAAAAGCAACCAAAGAGAUGCCCAAGCAUGGAGUGGAUUGGUAGAAACAGAACACAGAGCUACAUGGGCUACUUAGACCAAGACCCUGUCCUCCCCACCCCACAUCUGGUUUAGGAGGAUAGGCAGGAGCCCCAUGACCCUGAAGAGACCUGACUACUGCGCCCUCUGCUUUGUAGCCUUGCGGGUGAGAGACCACUUGGCAGGUGAGAUUCAAGGUUCUCGUCCUAUACAUCCCAAAGGAAAGCAAGACCCAGACCUAGCGAAUACAGUCGCCAAGAAAGGGGAGUGAGAAUUUUGCUCUCAGCUUGGUUCCCCUUCAACUAUGGAAGAUGCCUGAUGUGCCUGAUGAGCAGUGAAUCCUUAAAGGAGAAUAAACUAUUGUUUGAAGCCACCUAGUUUGGCACUCUGCAAAACUGCAGCCUUGGGGUAUCAGUCGCCUGCCCCCACAGACUCACCUCCAGGAGGGCACUAUGGCCUCCAGCUGUUCCCCUCCCUGUCUCCCCAGACCUCUGGAGUUGUUUCACAGCUCAACUGAGUACAGAGGUGAAGGAAGAACUUCCACAAACUAGUGGAGGAAAGAAGAAAGGAAUGUGGCAGUGAUUAGAACUCCGUUGAGAAUUCUUUGAAGAAACUUACUGCACUAGUAAUCCACCUUGACAAUGAAAAACUAGAAAAUAAAAAUAAAUCAGAAGAAAAGAUAAAUUAACAUUGUCCAUAAUUUGCGAUGGAGUGACUUUUGUUAGUAUCAGAGGAAGUUCCAGAUUUUAUGGGAUUGGAGGGCUCUUUCACUUUCUGUUACUAGAAAUUAAAUCAAGGAGUACUCUGCCACUGAGUUACAUCCUCAGGUGUUGAGGGCCGCCAAUCAAGUCAAGAUGGCGCCUGGCAGUUUGCCAAGAGGAGUGGUUUGUGAGGCAACGCCACCAAGCCAUUAAGAUGGUGGAGAUUCCUUAUUGGCUGAUUGCUGUAUCUGGAUGAUGCUAAUUGAGUCAAGCUGUGUGUAAUCAGUUAGGUAUAUAUACCGCUGUUGUUCCGUAAUAAAGCAGUUCCCGUUUCAACCUUCAAGUUGCUUGUCACCUCC
rnacentral:lncRNA from 1 species